UACCGGAUAAUAUUUUGAACCGCAUGGUUCAAAAGUGAAAGACGGUCUUGCUGUCACUUAUAGAUGGAUCCGCGCUGCAUUAGCUAGUUGGUAAGGUAACGGCUUACCAAGGCAACGAUGCAUAGCCGACCUGAGAGGGUGAUCGGCCACACUGGAACUGAGACACGGUCCAGACUCCUACGGGAGGCAGCAGUAGGGAAUCUUCCGCAAUGGGCGAAAGCCUGACGGAGCAACGCCGCGUGAGUGAUGAAGGUCUUCGGAUCGUAAAACUCUGUUAUUAGGGAAGAACAUAUGUGUAAGUAACUGUGCACAUCUUGACGGUACCUAAUCAGAAAGCCACGGCUAACUACGUGCCAGCAGCCGCGGUAAUACGUAGGUGGCAAGCGUUAUCCGGAAUUAUUGGGCGUAAAGCGCGCGUAGGCGGUUUUUUAAGUCUGAUGUGAAAGCCCACGGCUCAACCGUGGAGGGUCAUUGGAAACUGGAAAACUUGAGUGCAGAAGAGGAAAGUGGAAUUCCAUGUGUAGCGGUGAAAUGCGCAGAGAUAUGGAGGAACACCAGUGGCGAAGGCGACUUUCUGGUCUGUAACUGACGCUGAUGUGCGAAAGCGUGGGGAUCAAACAGGAUUAGAUACC
rnacentral:rRNA from 1 species